AAUCAACAUAGUGUUUUUCAUCUUAAAUCUUAUAUAUAUAGAGGUUUUCUUGGAUAUUUAUUUGUAGUCAAAAGAUGUCAGGAGGUGGAGGAGAUGAAGGAACAAGUUUAGAAUUUACACCAACAUGGAUUGUUGCCUUAGUAUGCACUGUCAUAGUUGCUAUAUCUCUUCUUGUUGAAAGAAUUAUUCACUAUGGUGGCAAGUAUUUGCUCAAGAAAAACCAAAAGCCACUCUAUGAAGCCUUACAAAAGAUCAAAGAAGAGUUGAUGUUGUUGGGAUUCAUAUCACUGUUAUUGACAGUGUUACAAGCGAGAAUUCUUAAAAUAUGCAUCCCUAAACACUUGACUAAUCACUGGCUCCCUUGUAAAAAAGAUGAUGAUGUGAAUGACUCUGUCCACUUCCAGACUAAUUUCUUCUCUUUGAUUCCGGGAGGAAGGCGCCUUCUUUCUGGAUCUGCUAAUUCUGGUUAUUGUGAGGCUAAGGACAAGGCGCCAUUGCUAUCUCUCACAGCAUUGCAUCAUCUCCAUACAUUUAUCUUUGUGCUGGCUGUUUCACAUGUUACUUUCUCAGCUCUUACAAUUCUAUUUGGAGGUAUAAAGAUACGUCAAUGGAAAUCUUGGGAGGAUUCUAUCAAGAAAGAGGAAUAUAAUCCUGAAGAAGUACUUCGAUCAAAAGUUACUCAUGUUCAUGAUCAUGACUUUAUCAAGGGCCGGUUUCUAGGAUUUGGUAAAAGAUCAACUUUAUUAGGUUGGCUGCAUUCCUUCGUCAAGCAAUUCUUUGGAUCUGUCACAAAAUUAGACUAUACAACCUUGAGGCUUGGCUUCAUUAUGACUCAUUGCAAGAAGAAUCCAAAGUUCGAUUUUCACAAGUAUAUGACACGCGUGCUUGAAGCUGAUUUCAAGAAAGUUGUUGGGAUUAGCUGGUAUCUUUGGGUAUUUGUGGUCUUGUUCCUAUUGCUUAAUGUUCAUGGCUGGCACACAUACUUUUGGAUAGCAUUUGUUCCCUUUGGUCUUUUGCUAGCUGUGGGGACUAAACUAGAGCAUGUAAUAACUCAACUUGCUGGAGAGGUUGCUGCAAAGCACAUCGCGGUAGAAGGAGAUUUAGUUGUGAAGCCAUCAGAUGAUCAUUUCUGGUUUCAUAGACCGCGACUAGUCCUUUUCCUCAUUCAUAUCAUCCUUUUCCAGAACUCCUUUGAGAUUG
rnacentral:misc_RNA from 1 species